GUUUCUGUAGUGUAGUGGUUAUCACGUUCGCCUCACACGCGAAAGGUCCCCGGUUCGAAACCGGGCAGAAACA
rfam:Charadrius vociferus contig40330, whole genome shotgun sequence.